CUCACUGCGUGAGCGGACGAAAACAACAACACCUAAAAUGUGGAAUAUAGCAUAUAGUCGACAAGAGAAAUCUACGAAAAACAAACAAAACUUUCAACAACGGAUCUCUUGGUUCUCGCAUCGAUGAAGAGCGCAGCGAAAUGCGAUACCUAGUGUGAAUUGCAGCCAUCGUGAAUCAUCGAGUUCUUGAACGCACAUUGCGCCCCUCGGCAUUCCGGGGGGCAUGCCUGUUUGAGCGUCGUUUCCAUCUUGCGCGUGCGCAGAGUUGGGGGAGCGGAGCGGACGACGUGUAAAGAGCGUCGGAGCUGCGACUCGCCUGAAAGGGAGCGAAGCUGGCCGAGCGAACUAGACUUUUUUUCAGGGACGCUUGGCGGCCGAGAGCGAGUGUUGCGAGACAACAAAAAGCUCGACCUCAAAUCAGGUAGGAAUACCCGCUGAACUUAAGCAUAUCAU
rnacentral:rRNA from 1 species